rnacentral:tRNA from 1 species
GGGAUUGUAGCUUAGUGGUAGAGUGCUUGUCUAGCAUGCAUGAAGCCCUGGGUUUGAUUCCUCAGUACCG